rnacentral:rRNA from 1 species
CAGCAGCCGCGGGAAUACGAGGGGAGCUAGCGUUGUUCGGAAUUACUGGGCGUAAAGCGCGCGUAGGCGGCUUUUUAAGUCAGAGGUGAAAGCCCGGGGCUCAACCCCGGAAUUGCCUUUGAAACUGGAAAGCUAGAAUCUUGGAGAGGUCAGUGGAAUUCCGAGUGUAGAGGUGAAAUUCGUAGAUAUUCGGAAUAACACCAGUGGCGAAGGCGACUGACUGGACAAGUAUUGACGCUGAGGUGCGAAAGCGUGGGGAGCAAACAGGAUUAGAUACCCCCGUAGUCCCUGUCUCUUAUAC